rnacentral:sRNA from 1 species
GCCAGGAGUGGCGGUGCACACCUGUAAUCUCAGCAGCUCAGGAGGCUGAGGCAGGAGGAUCGUGAGUUCAAAGCCAGCCUCAGCAAAAGUGAGGCUCUAAGAAACUCAGUGAGACCCUGUCUGUA